rnacentral:rRNA from 1 species
ACAGGCCUACGGGACGCAGCAGUGAGGAAUAUUGGUCAAUGGGCGGGAGCCUGAACCAGCCAAGUCGCGUGAAGGAAGAAGGUACUUAGUAUUGUAAACUUCUUUUGUCGGGGAACAAGGGCCGGGACGAGUCCCGGUCCGGAGAGUACCCGGAGAAAAAGCAUCGGCUAACUCCGCGCCAGCAGCCGCGGUAAUACGGAGGAUGCGAGCGUUAUCCGGAUUUAUUGGGUUUAAAGGGUGCGUAGGCGGGCUUUUAAGUCAGCGGUAAAAAUUCGGGGCUCAACCCCGUCCGGCCGUUGAAACUG